UACAGAGGGGGCAAGCGUUGUCCGGAUUCAUUGGGCGUAAAGAGCGUGUAGGCGGCCAGGUAGGUCGGUUGUGAAAACUGGAGGCUCAACCUUCAGAGGUCGACCGAAACCAUCUGGCUAGAGUCCGGGAGAGGAGAGUGGAAUUCCUGGUGUAGCGGUGAAAUGCGCAGAUAUCAGGAAGAACACCGGUGGCGAAGGCGGGUCUCUGGACAGUUCCUGACACUGAGGCACGAAGGCCAGGGGAGCAAACGGG
rnacentral:rRNA from 1 species